rnacentral:rRNA from 1 species
UCUUCUACCUCUGAUGGAUUUUUUAUAUCCCAGGAAAAGUAUAUCCAGGAUCUUCUUGCUCGUGCUGCUCUUAUUGACGAGCACAUUGUUGAGACUCCUAUGGAGCUCAAUGUUCACCUCCGUGCUACUGAUGGUGAUCCUCUCCCUGACCCGACGCGUUAUCAUCAUCUCGUUGGCAGUCUUGUCUAUCUAGAUGUCACUCGUCCGGACAUCUCUUAUCCGGUUCAUAUUCUGAGUCAGUUUGUCUCUACUCCCACAUUGGUUCACUAUAGUCAUCUCCUUCGUGUUCUCCGAUAUCUUCGGGGCACGAUCUCUCACCGUCUAUUCUUUCCUAGCUCCAGUUCUUUACAGCUUCAGGCCUAUUUGGAUGCUACGUGGGCUAGUGAUCCUUCCGAUCACCGUUCCCUUUCUGCUUACUGUGAUUUUCUUGGCGGUUCUCUCAUUGCCUGGAAGACGAAGAAAAAGAUUGCAGUUUCCCGUUCGAGCGCUGAGGCUGAGUUG